rnacentral:ncRNA from 1 species
GUGGGCGCGAGCCUGCCCGGAGCCGCCGUCGGUGCAGAUCUUGGUGGUAGUAGCAAAUACUCCAGAGGGAUCCUGGAGGACUGACGCGGAGAAGGGUUUCAUGUGAACAGUGGUUGGACAUGAGUCAGUCGAUCCUAAGCCGCAGGAGAAAUCCGACCAAGGGACGGGUGUGAUUUUAUUUCUCUCUCUUUUCGGUCUUUAAACAGGCUAAAAGAAGGAAAAAAGAAAAAGAGGCACCCCCUGGUUUAGGCGAAAGGGAAUCUGGUCCUGAUUCCAGAACCAGGCUGCGGCUACGUCCGCGAAUCAAACGACCUCAACCCUCGUUAUUCACGGUCGCGGCAACGCGAAACAAACCGGAGAAGCUGCCGAGAACCCCGGGAAGAGUUUUCUUUUCUGCUUGAGGGACCGAGACCCUGGAAUCCCGUCGCGGGGCGAGAGGGUUACGGAUUUAGCUGUCAAAGGCUAUCCCGAAGAGCGCCGCGUUUCUGCGGCGUCCGUGGUCGUUUUCGGCUGGCCCUUGAAAAUCCGGUGGGAGGGUUACGUUGUUGGACGUUCGCGCCUGCUCGUACCGAUAUCCGCAUCAGGUCUCCUAGGUGAACAGCCUCUAGUCGAUGGAUGAAUGUAGGUAAGGGAAAUCGGCAAAUUGGAUCCGUAACUUCGGGAUAAGGAUUGGCUCUGAGGGUCGAGGCGGUCGGGCUGAGAAAUUAAGCGAAGCCGGCGGCGGACGUGCCUGGCCUGGGUCGGACCUGUCGAUGCCUUAACCGGUGUCGAUGGGAUCGGCCCGGUCCUUGGCCAGAUCGCUGCCGGUGGAGCGUCUCGGCAUCGGUGCCCGGAGGGAGGGGCGUCAAAACCUUUUCUUCCGGAACACUCUCGGCCGCCAGUGAACGACCAACUCAGAACUGGCACGAUCCAGGGGAAUCCGACUGUCUAAUUAAAACAAAGCAUUGCGAUGGCCGCAAGACGGUGCUGACGCAAUGUGAUUUCUGCCCAGUGCUCUGAAUGUCAA